CACUUAAUGUGCAUCUGAGAACAUAAUAUAAUGUGCCUUUUUUUUAACCCUUUAGCUGCUAGAUCAUGUCUAUGCAUCAUCUUAAAGGGGCACUCUAAAUACUAUAAACACUAGAGGUCAUUGUAGUGGUUAUGGUUGAAAGAUUUGGGGGCCAUGCUUGUAUUUAACAGUUUGAGUGAUUUACAGAAACCAUGUCUCUCCCCAGCACCCAAACCCUGAACACAUGUUCAUCAUACUCCAACACGCCCACACGCACAAUCAUAUCUGUCCAGGAUUUUGUAAUUACCAUAUUGUCUCAGGGCCACUCUUUAUAGGAUUGUUAAUCACUCAAACUGGGGGACUGCACCCACAAAAACUACAGUGAACUGUAAUAUUGCAAUCAGCUGUCAUAACACACUGAGCUGCAGUGGUUAUGGUGCUUAGGGUUUACCUUUCAUUUACGCAUAUUCACGUAAGGAUCGUGCCAGUUUG